AGCAGUAGCCACGGUAAUACGAAGGGUGCAAGCGUUACUCGGAAUUACUGGGCGUAAAGCGUGCGUAGGUGGUGGUUUAAGUCCGUUGUGAAAGCCCUGGGCUCAACCUGGGAAUUGCAGUGGAUACUGGGUCACUAGAGUGUGGUAGAGGAUAGUGGAAUUUCCGGUGUAGCAGUGAAAUGCGUAGAGAUCGGAAGGAACAUCUGUGGCGAAGGCGACUAUCUGGGCCAACACUGACACUGAGGCACGAAAGCGUGGGGAGCAAACAGGAUUAGAUACCCGGGUAGUCCCUGUCUCUUAUAC
rnacentral:rRNA from 1 species